rnacentral:lncRNA from 1 species
AACAAUCAAACGCCAUACAAACACUGUGCACUAGGCAACGCACUGUAUGCACCAGGAGUACAGGUAAAGAAAGAAAGAAAGAAAAAAGAAUAACAAUCAUAACUGGUAUUUAUAACCAAACAAUUUAUUAUAAACUAAUUAAUUUGUAGUCAUCCUUAAAGAAAUAGCAUCUAAACCUAAAUUUAAAGUUCAAAUCUCAAUAACUACAAAUCCUUUUAACUUAUUAUAGAUUAUGACAUUUCUUAGUAAAGAAAACCUUAAAACUGUCUACAAUUCCCAUAAUUGCUUAUGGGAUAAUAUCUGUACCGAUAUCAGUUCUACCAUGUUUAUGAUUGAAGAUAAAUGAAACUUUCGAAGUUAGACACAAGUAUGCUCAAAAUUUUAAGACUUUUCAUAUACAGUUAUAAGCAUAUCUCCAUACUCAUGUUUGAAUAUGCAGUAAACAUGAAUGUCCGACACAGAUACUUUAAGAAAAUGAAGAGUCAAGGUAGCAUAGAUUUCAAUUGAUCAAGCAUAUGUGAGAUCCAUCAAUCACAAUUCUUUCUUCUUUUACCUUUUCCUCUUAUGAUGAUCACAUUGCUGUUUGCUUUAUUCAUGAUAGUCAUGGAAUGGCUAUGCAAUUUAGUGUCAUUGAAAGACCUAUUCUUCCGAAAGAUUACACUGCAAUUACUUGAAAUUGUUAUCAACUCUAUCAACUAACUAAAGAUACUCCUUAAACAAGAACAGAUGGAGAAGGAAAGUUAGAGAAAUAUAAAUAUGAAGAAAAUCAAAUUCUAGAACCAAAAUAUAAAAUACAGACAGGACCUAUAACUGAAUAAAAAGCAGAAAGAGGACUUACUAAGCAUGAUAAUGAUACAGAUAAGGUUAAUUCAAUAUUUGAACAGACAAAUUUCCCAUUUAUGUAAACAGCAUCAUCGAUCAAUGUGUGGAAACUAACGGUCCCACCCAGAGGGCCUUCGCCUUUCUCUUGGUCUAUCUCUAGAACUGUCAAAAAAG